GACGAACGCUGGCGGCGUGCUUAACACAUGCAAGUCGAACGAUGAAGCUGGAGCUUGCUCCGGUGGAUUAGUGGCGAACGGGUGAGUAACACGUGAGCAAUCUGCCCUUGACUCUGGGAUAACUGCGGGAAACUGUAGCUAAUACCGGAUACUUUCACUGGAAGGCAUCUUCUGGUGAAGAAAGAAUUUCGGUCAAGGAUGAGCUCGCGGCCUAUCAGCUUGUUGGUGAGGUAACGGCUCACCAAGGCGACGACGGGUAGCCGGCCUGAGAGGGUGACCGGCCACACUGGGACGGAGACACGGACCAGACUCCUACGGGAGGCAGCAGUGGGGAAUAUUGCACAAUGGGCGCAAGCCUGAUGCAGCAACGCCGCGUGAGGGAUGAAGGCCUUCGGGUUGUAAACCUCUUUUAGCAGGGAAGAAGCGAAAGUGACGGUACCUGCAGAAAAAGCACCGGCUAACUACGUGCCAGCAGCCGCCGUAA
rnacentral:rRNA from 1 species